ACGAUGAUUAUCUGAAAAAGCAUGAUCAGAUAGAUAGCUAGAAAUAGGAUACGGAGUGUUACCUGAGGACAUUCGCGGAAGACACUGAUCAGGCGUGGUGAGAGCAAGAGAGAGUUUAUCAUCGACGAGUGCUGAGUGUGUAACAUAAUCUUUGAGAAGAAUCGAAGGAGCUUUCAAUCUCUGACCACGACCAAGAAGCUCAGGUAACCCUGGAGAGGACGGUUCUGCAGGAGAACUUGUGACUGGUAGUUGGUGUGGAGGAGUUAUAGAUGGUUCUUGAGGACUGAGAGGAGAAUGAGGUAUUGUUACAGUAGUAGCUGGAGAUGUUUGUUCUAUAGUAUCCGACUGAGUAGAUGAAAUAGGUGUUAUAGAAGGGAUUGUUGUAGGUGGAGAGGGUGCAGGGGCAGGCAAGGAAGAGCUCCCCCUUGAUUCAGUAACCGGAAGCAACCAGUCAUCAACAGCCGGGUCAUAGUGAUUUGUUGGUGGUGUUACAUAAUCCUCUGUUCCCACACCAGGAAAUUUUGAUUCGGAAAAUGCCACGUCUCUACUAGAAAAGAACUCAUGAGAGUCUAGAUCAUACAAACGCCAGGCCUUCUUGCCAAAGGGGUAACCCACAAAAAUACAUCUCCUGCUUCUGUCAGCAAACUUAUCUUUGUCUCUGGCCUUUCGGUGAGCAAAACAGAGACAGCCGAAGACUCUAAGUUGAUCAAGGUCAGGUUUCUUGCCAAACAAUAGCUCAUAUGGUGUGCGGCCUUCGAGAACUUGGGAAGGUGUAUAGUUAAUCAAGUGUGCCGCAGUUAAUAUGCUUUCUCCCCAAAAAGUAGAUGGAAGUCGUGCCUGAAACAGACACGCCCUUGCGACAUUGAGCAGAUGGCGAUGCUUGCGUUCGACGCGACCGUUUUGUUGCGGCGUAUCAACGCAGGAGGUUUGGUGUUCCACGCCAUUCUUUCGGAAAAAGGAUGAUAAAACCAUGAACUCUGAGCCAUUGUCGGUUCUUAUCUUCUUGACUGAUUUACCAAACUGUUUUUCACACAUAGCAAAGAAUUCUUGUAGUAGUGUUGCAACCUCUGAUUUUUCCAGCAUAAGAUAUGUCCACACAGCUCUAGAAUAAUCAUCGACUAUAGUAAGAAAAUAUUUUGCUCCAGAUGAGGAAGGUGUACGAUACGGACCCCAAACAUCACAGUGGAUUAAAGAAAAAAUCUCUGAAGCUUUAUUAGAACUUUCAUGAAAAACAUUACGAGUUUGCUUGGCUCGAAAACAAAUCUCACAAGAUGCUGUUUGGUGUGAAUCAAAUGUCAUCUUGUCUAACAUAGGUAAAAACGAUAAAACUCUAUAAGAAGGAUGCCCUAGCCGUCGAUGCCACAAUUCUGAUGUAGAGGAGUUCUUGUAUGCAGACUUGUGAACACUAGCAGCUACAACACCCGUGAAAUAAUAAACUCCCUCUCGUUCUUCACCCGUUCCAAUCAGGGUCUUCGUAAAACGGUCCUGCAAGACACACAACGUAUCAGUAAAAAUAGCUAUGCAACCGGUUUGUUUAAGUAAACAAGACGCUGAGAUUAAGGUGCAGUUGAAAUCAGGGACGUAGAGAACGUCUUUCAAACAAUAGUCACGACUCAGCACAAGUGUGCCUUUCUUGAGAGCUCGUGAAAAUCGGCCAUCAGGAAACUUGACUGAGGAUGGUAGAAUAUCAGAUACAUCACUCAAAAGUGAUAGGUUUCCUGUCAUAUGAUGAGAAGCACCAGUGUCGAUAAUUAUGUCAGUAAAUUUGGUUUUACCGGCCAAUCUUUCAGAUGAGAUAUUCGAACGAGAGGAUUGUAGCAGUUGAAUGAUCUGAGAAAUCUGAUCGUUGUCAAGAGGUGAUGAUGCCACGUUGUUGGUUGUCGCUCGAGUUGUAUUUGAACGACCACCACGACCGCGAUUGUUUGAGUAGCGUCCUCCUCGACCCCGUUGAUUAUAUGUUGCUCCCCCUGAGUUAUUUCGUUGUUGUUGUUGUUCAUUCCACCACUCUGGAAAUCCAUGCAAGAGGAAGCAUUCCGAUUGAUCAUGACCCUUGCGAGAGCAGUGAGUGCAGACUCUGUUAGGAUCACGACUGCGAGCAACUGCAGCUUGUAGUGGAUCUAUUUUUGCUGUGUCUGUACGUGCGGAGAAACCAAUUGCUUCUGUUUUAGUUUCUGUAGGUCGAGAAUUGUUGUGUUGCUCUUCUCUGAUGACACGAGAGUAAACUUUGUUGAUAUCCGGUAAUGGUUCUUCAUCUAUUAUCUGUGAACGUAUGGUGCGGAAGCGUGAUUCGUCGAGACCAAACAGGAAUUUGUGUACUCUGAUCUCUUCUCGUUCUUUUUCUAUAUCUGCCGCAGCCUCACAAGAACACGCCCGUGUUGUGUUUAAAUUAUCCAGUUCUUCCCAGAGUUUAGAUAAUCGACCAUAGUAUUCGAUAACACUCUGUCCGUUCUGUUGACAUGUGUUAAUUGAGUCUCGGAGUUGAUGUAUACGAACGCCGUUUUUAACGGAGAAGCGCCGCUGUAGAUUUUCCCAUAGCUUGUGAGCUUCUGGUACGAACGACACAGUAGAUCUUAUCUUGGGAUCAAUCGAGGUUCUAAUCCAACCUACAAGCAUCGAGUUUGUUGCCUGCCAUCGAGUGAGGUCUGGUUCCGUCGUCGGUUUUGCGAUGGUACCAUCAAUAAAACCAAGCUUCCGCUUUGCUUGGAUCGAAUUUGACAAUUCCGUUGCCCAUUCCGUAUAGUUAUCACCUUUAAGGAGGACAGAAGUAAUAAGAGCACCAGGAUUAUCUGAUGGAUGUAGAUAGUAUGGAGAAGAUAUGACGGACUCUGUGAUGGCGCCUUGAUUGUCAGACAUGUUUCUUGAGAAACACGUUUUUGUAGAAAAGAAAUUUAAGAAUUAUAGAAGGUCCAGGUCUUAUGCUCUGAUACCAUGUAAUAUCAUGUAAAGUCUGAAUAUAAGUGUUAUUGAUCUCAGAGCUCUAGCUCAGUAUUUAUACAUCACGUAAGUCCUAAGUAGAUAAGGACAAGUAUGAGAUAACAUAAGCUCAUGAUUAUCAGAAAGUAUAUAGAAUAUCCUAUUCUAAGUAGGAGUUAUCCCCAUUAACUUGCCAUGAAGAGAUGUUAUGAUUCUUGAAUGUUUUUCAUGUUUUGCACUCUUAUUUUUGUUGGUUAAAGAUUCUUGAAAGUGUAACUUUUAUUUCAUAGAAUAUAACUAGAUAUUACAUGAAACGCAUACCAAAUCUAGUUCAUUUUAUCGUCCUACAAAUGCAAACACAAGCUACUGAGCUCAUGAGGUGGUAUAAAAUCUCAUCUGAUCUGCUAAAUUUUUUCUUACAUAAAUUAUAUAUGUGUGUUCCAUAGUUCCAUUUAACGUAUUUACAACCAAGCUUAAACCUCGUUUUAGUUAUCUGUUAUUAUUACCAUAAAAUAACAAAGUUAAGUGCAAAAAAUACCAUUAUGACGAGUUGACAUGAAAUAGUUUUUCAAAAUCAACGACUAAUCUGUCGUGUGAAUUACAAGAUUCGGCACCCAACAAUACAUGCAUGUGAACUUCAACAUCAUGCAAACUCCAAACUACUAAAAAGAAUUGUCUUUUAUUUUUUUCGGUUGUAUUAGUUUUCACGAUCGAUGAUCGGCUUAAGACGCGUGAUAGGCACCGUCACAACUUUGCUGGACGGUCUCGACCCUCAACGAAAUAUCUGAUGAUGAAAUCCACUUGAGCUGGACUUCGAAGUCUUACACCACUUGAUUCACUAGUGGAACUCUAUCAAAUUGACUAUCCAUAUAAAGUUAAAAAAUAUACAGUGACAUGUGUUUGAAUCUUUUAACCAAAAUAGAAGUAAUGAAAUAAAAAUAUUAAAUAAAAUACGGUUCCAGUAUAAAAUCAAUUGGUAAUAGAUAAAUUAAUUUAUCUAUUUAAUAUAUUAUUUUAGUUUCAGAAUAUCUCUGGUACCAUAGUAAGUUAAAUGAGUUUUUAACCUAAAAUCAAUUAGUAAUAUGUGGAUUUAUUAAUCUUUUAUAUAUAUUUUUUGUUUAAAUUAAGUAUCAUUGUAAAAUAAUUUCUUUUCAUUACAAAAUAAGUGUUAAUUUAUGAUUUUAAUUCAAUUUUUAUUAGUUUUAUCGCUUUUACUUCUAAUUAAACUUUUUAAAAAUAAUAAAUGUUAUGAAAUUUUAACAGUAAAUGAAAUCAAACGUUAAACUUGUUUUUAAUUUGUUAUGAAAAAUAAUAUCUAAUUUGAAACUGAUAGAAUAUCAAUUAAAAUAUUUUUCAAUUUCUGAUGUGAUACUUUGUACCAAGUACUUUGAAUUGUCUACUUUAUCACAAGUUGUCUAAUGAAUAAUACAAAAGAAUUAACAAGACAAAACACCAAAUGUCUUAUCUGCGUCCGAUUUUGGUUGGUAAUAAAUGAAAUAGACACUUUGAAAAUCUCAAGUCGACAGACUAGAAUUCAACGAGCAUACCUAAGAAGUAGGAAAAGUCAAUAUAAUAAAAUAAAAAAAACAGGUUUAGACUUUUUAACAAGGGGCCGGUGAGUCGGUGCCGGUGCGAACCGCCGGCCUCACCAACCUUGUUACUGAUUUCAAUCUUUGCGGCCGUACAACAUCUCUCCAUUCAAUUUUUAGAAACUUCUAGGCCCAAAACUUAGAGACAUCACGACACUUAACACAUAUUUGUUUACUACAUUGUUAUAGUUUGUUCAAGCGCUGGUUGUGAUUCCUUCCGGUUUCUUGUGGCAAGCAGCCUCUAAGCAUUAUUUAGCUCUAAGAAACUUUGACCGGAGAUAAAAGCUUCCUCUUUUGCAUCGCGUUCGAAUAAGUUGUCGUACCUCUGCAACAUAGCAUACAUACAAUGUUAUUUUUUUAAGCAAACAAAAAGGGAUAAACCUAGCAAAUAUUUUUAAAUUUUUAUCACAAAAAUAGUACUUAAAAAAUCUUCAAAAUAACAUUUAUAAAUCAGUAAACUCAAUACUUAAUUACCUUAUAUAUUAAACUCUAAAUUUAAUUUCAUCCUUUAAAUACUAAACCAUAAAUUUAAGAGAAAUUCUUUUAAAAAAAUCAUUUUAAAUUUAUUUUCAUAAAAGUAGACUCCCAAAAAAAGAUGACCAAAAAAGAAGUUUUAUUAAAGGGUAAAUAUAUAUUUAUACUCUUAGGUUUAACUAAUCUAAGACUCAUGAUUUAGAGUUUAGAGGUGGGGUUUUGGAUGUGCUCAAAUUUUUAAAAAUAAAAACUAAAUAUUAAAAAUUUAAAAAUAAAAAGGGAUAUUUUGGUCAUUUUAAUUUUUUGAAGGCUAUUUUCGUGACAAAAACUUAAAAGAGCUAUUUGAGAGAAUUGUCCUAAAUUUAAAUAUAUAAAUAUUUAUCUUUUUUUUACAUUUUAUUAAAAGUUAUUUAGGAAUUUUUCUCCAUUUGUGGUAAUUUUUGAAAAGAAAAGCUAUUAAAUGAUAUUUCUUAAAACAUAACAUACAUACAACGUGUCAUGUCGAUAACAAACCUUUAAGAAACGUCGGAAUUUAAAUUGGGCCCCCAUGUUUUUAAUCUUAGCCCAUUACUUUAAUGUGGUUAUUCGGGUGUAGUCCCCAAUGUUUCAAAUAAUUAGUUUUGCCCCCAAUAUCUUUCAAAUUUAUACAUUAGUACAUAUCAUCCGUCUUCUAUCUUCUUCUAUAAUAUUUGAAAAUUUCUUUGAUCGAAUAUCUUGUGUUUUCGUUUUCAAUGGCUGAAACAUUUUCUACGAAUCUUUUCAAGCCAAAUUCGAAGAUUUCACACAAGUUUCGUAUUUAUUUAUAUUAUUGUUUAUUCCAAACGGGAAACGCACACGAGGUGUUCGACAAAAUUCCCCCUUCUGGUGUAUGUGUUUUUUUUUUUUUAUAUCCCAACACAAAACAAUGUCACGUGGCGCUCACGUGAUAAAAGCCAGCCUCUUGACCGCGUUUGCAGUUACUACAUUCCUUCUUUUUUUUUCCCGCCGUUUCUCUCUCUCUGAAGAAAUAAGAUAACUUGAGAGUCAAGAAAGCCCGCAAGAAUCUUGUAGAAAUGGAAUUGGAUGAUGUCGAGGUAAAGAAGCUCUGCCGAAAGGUUAUACGCUACGCUGACGGCGAUCACACCAAGUGGUUGCUGGUGUGUGAGACACUGCGAGCUGAGAGUUUGGGAGUCAAAGAAAAGUCUAGACCCGUGUGAGGAUAGGAGAAGUUCUCUAGUGCUGAAGAAUGUAGGACUCAUCUUGAACAAGAGCAUGCUGAUGAUUUUAAACCUCAUUCGGAAAAGGAUAUGGUCAAGAGGAUAGGGAAGACCUGGGGUCAUAAGAUACUGGUUGGGGUGUGGGAACCAGUGGAUGCAGUUGCUGCUGUUGGAAUGAUCAAAACUCAGCUCGCGUACGUGAAGGCUUUUACAUCUAAGUCUAGGAAGAAGGGGUGGUCCAACGAAUGGCCUUUAGCUGCGGUUGAAGAGCGGAGUACGUUACUCAAGGAAAUCAAGUUACUCAAGCAAUGAUAUAGUAUUGAAGUCCAUAAAACUUCUGAAAUCAGUGAUUACCCAAAAGGUUCGUUCAUGAGUAUAGUAUUCAUUAACAGCAGAAUAAUAUAAAACUGUUCAUCUAAAAUUAUCUUCAUGCCUUGCAGGUUCUGCUAAUUGAUAAUUCAAGGAUUAGAUUGUUAGACAAACUCAUACGGCUUUCUGUUUUUGACAACCGCUCUUACACGCUUCAGCUGCUGAAACCUUUCUUGCUGGUUGGUUGGUUUGAAACUUUGGUUUCAUUUUCCGUCUGAUUUGGUAUUUGAACUGUUUCUUAUAUCCUUUCAUGUCUUUUCUCAUGUAGAAUGAAAUUGUAAGUAUGGAAUCAAAAGUCAAGUUAGAUGCAGUAGAAGCUGAUAUUUUAGUCAACGAGGAGAAGAAGCCACUCAAAGAGGAGAAGUCACAGAGAAAAAAGACGAAAAAAACUAAAAGCAUUAAGGUCUUUGAAGUUUUAAAUUCACUAUUUGCUUCUCUUACCUUUCAGUAAAUGGUUUGUAAGAAUGAAUGGUCUUCAUGGCGUAACAGAGAACUUCAACGAGCAUGUCUAGUCCCGUUGAUAAGAAUGUUGAACGGUAAGCACCUCAUGAGUCUUUAUUGCGUGUUUGAUGAAUUGUUUCCGGGUUUCCUCUGAGCAAAACGUGUUCGUACAUGUCCAGCACACCUUCUGUCAACCUUUAAGAUACUAUUGCAAGUGAAAAGGGACGAUUGGAAAUUUCAUCCAACGCUGACAUUCAGGUGGUAAAAGAGCUUCUCAAUUGACGAAUAAUUUGAAUGUGUUGUAUUGGGAUGCAUAAUUCUUAUUUCUUUCAUUUGCCCAUGCCUGGAAAAGAUUCAGUGUCAGGAAACUUGGAGUCAGCACUUGGAGAAGGUGCAGCUAGAUAUAAUUCAGCUCUUGACAUGACGGUAAAGGUAAAGCAGUUACCAAACAAAAAAGACCAUGUUCGAUUUUAUUAAAAGUUAUUUAGGAAUUUUUCUCCAUUUGUGGUAAUUUUUGAAAAGAAAAGCUAUUAAAUGAUAUUUCUUAAAACAUAACAUACAUACAACGUGUCAUGUCGAUAACAAACCUUUAAGAAACGUCGGAAUUUAAAUUGGGCCCCCAUGUUUUUAAUCUUAGCCCAUUACUUUAAUGUGGUUAUUCGGGUGUAGUCCCCAAUGUUUCAAAUAAUUAGUUUUGCCCCCAAUAUCUUUCAAAUUUAUACAUUAGUACAUAUCAUCCGUCUUCUAUCUUCUUCUAUAAUAUUUGAAAAUUUCUUUGAUCGAAUAUCUUGUGUUUUCGUUUUCAAUGGCUGAAACAUUUUCUACGAAUCUUUUCAAGCCAAAUUCGAAGAUUUCACACAAGUUUCGUAUUUAUUUAUAUUAUUGUUUAUUCCAAACGGGAAACGCACACGAGGUGUUCGACAAAAUUCCCCCUUCUGGUGUAUGUGUUUUUUUUUUUUUAUAUCCCAACACAAAACAAUGUCACGUGGCGCUCACGUGAUAAAAGCCAGCCUCUUGACCGCGUUUGCAGUUACUACAUUCCUUCUUUUUUUUUCCCGCCGUUUCUCUCUCUCUGAAGAAAUAAGAUAACUUGAGAGUCAAGAAAGCCCGCAAGAAUCUUGUAGAAAUGGAAUUGGAUGAUGUCGAGGUAAAGAAGCUCUGCCGAAAGGUUAUACGCUACGCUGACGGCGAUCACACCAAGUGGUUGCUGGUGUGUGAGACACUGCGAGCUGAGAGUUUGGGAGUCAAAGAAAAGUCUAGACCCGUGUGAGGAUAGGAGAAGUUCUCUAGUGCUGAAGAAUGUAGGACUCAUCUUGAACAAGAGCAUGCUGAUGAUUUUAAACCUCAUUCGGAAAAGGAUAUGGUCAAGAGGAUAGGGAAGACCUGGGGUCAUAAGAUACUGGUUGGGGUGUGGGAACCAGUGGAUGCAGUUGCUGCUGUUGGAAUGAUCAAAACUCAGCUCGCGUACGUGAAGGCUUUUACAUCUAAGUCUAGGAAGAAGGGGUGGUCCAACGAAUGGCCUUUAGCUGCGGUUGAAGAGCGGAGUACGUUACUCAAGGAAAUCAAGUUACUCAAGCAAUGAUAUAGUAUUGAAGUCCAUAAAACUUCUGAAAUCAGUGAUUACCCAAAAGGUUCGUUCAUGAGUAUAGUAUUCAUUAACAGCAGAAUAAUAUAAAACUGUUCAUCUAAAAUUAUCUUCAUGCCUUGCAGGUUCUGCUAAUUGCGAGCUGAGAGUUUGGGAGUCAAAGAAAAGUCUAGACCCGUGGGAGGAUAGGGUUAGAGGGUUGAAGUCGUUUUGGGUUGGUUUGGAUGUUAAGAUCAAAAGGGAUUUUAUGAAGGUGAGCAUUGCAAAGCUUAGAAGUUUUGUCAAGAGAGUACACAAAACCAAGGGACUAGAUGCCUUGGAAACGUUCUCGCUUUUGCUAGGGAAUACGGUAAAUGGAUGUUCUGGAUGUGUAGAUGUCGAGCUAUAGGUAUGGAGAAGUUCUCUAGUGCUGAAGAAUGCAGGACUCAUCUUGAACAAGAGCAUGCUGCUGAUUUUAAACCUCAUUCGGAAAAGGAUAUGGUCAAGAGGAUAGGGAAGACCUGGGGUCAUAAGAUACUGGUUGGGGUGUGGGAACCAGUGGAUGCAGUUGCUGCUGUUGGAAUGAUCAAAACUCAGCUCGCGUACGUGAAGGCUUUUACAUCUAAGUCUAGGAAGAAGGGGUGGUCCAACGAAUGGCCUUUAGCUGCGGUUGAAGAGCGGAGUACGUUACUCAAGGAAAUCAAGUUACUCAAGCAAUGAUAUAGUAUUGAAGUCCAUAAAACUUCUGAAAUCAGUGAUUACCCAAAAGGUUCGUUCAUGAGUAUAGUAUUCAUUAACAGCAGAAUAAUAUAAUACUGUUGAUCUAAAAUUAUCUUCAUGCCUUGCAGGUUCUGCUAAUCGAUGCAAAGAUAUUGCUGAUUGAUAAUUCAAGGAUUAGAUUGUUAGACAAACUCAUACGGCUUUCUGUUUUUGACAACCGCUCUUACACGCUUCAGCUGCUGAAACCUUUCUUGCUGGUUGGUUGGUUUGAAACUUUGGUUUCAUUUUCCGUCUGAUUUGGUAUUUGAACUGUUUCUUAUAUCCUUUCAUGUCUUUUCUCAUGUAGAAUGAAAUUGUAAGUAUGGAAUCAAAAGUCAAGUUAGAUGCAGUAGAAGCUGAUAUUUUAGUGAACGAGGAGAAGAAGUCACUCAAAGAGGAGAAGUCACAGAGAAAAAAGACGAAAAAACUAAAAGCAUUAAGGUCUUUGAAGUUUUAAAUUCACUAUUUGCUUCUCUUACCUUUCAGUAAAUGGUUUGUAAGAAUGAAUGGUCUUCAUGGCGUAACAGAGAACUUCAACGAGCAUGUCUAGUCCCGUUGAUAAGAAUGUUGAACGGUAAGCACCUCAUGAGUCUUUAUUGCGUGUUUGAUGAAUUGUUUCCGGGUUUCCUCUGAGCAAAACGUGUUCGUACAUGUCCAGCACACCUUCUGUCAACCUUUAAGAUACUAUUGCAAGUGAAAAGGGACGAUUGGAAAUUUCAUCCAACGCUGACAUUCAGGUGGUAAAAGAGCUUCUCAAUUGACGAAUAAUUUGAAUGUGUUGUAUUGGGAUGCGAAAUUCUUAUUUCUUUCAUUUGCCCAUGCCUGGAAAAGAUUCAGUGUCAGGAAACUUGGAGUCAGCACUUGGAGAAGGUGCAGCUAGAUAUAAUUCAGCUCUUGACAUGACGGUAAAGGUAAAGCAGUUACCAAACAAAAAAGACCAUGUUCGUUCCAUAUGUAAAGACCUUCUUAUUCUCUUUGAUAAAUUGAAAUUGCAGGCCCUCAUGAACAUAAACGUUCUUAAAGAAGAUAUAAAGUACAAUAAGCAACCAUUUCACGGCAACCUGGAAGAACAAGUUCCUUGUGAGCUACAAAAUUUAUUUAGUGCUGUUGUGUCAGGGGAAAUAAAAACUGAGGGAGUCUACUGUUUCAUCUUGAGAGACUUACUUGCUUCCCUAGAAGAAGCUAAGUCCAUGGUUCGUGUGAAUAAUAUAAGCUUCUAAGCAUCAUAUUGUUUUUUUAUGCUUAACUAAAAGUAAUGUAUUUUUCAGUCAAGUGGUGCUGCUGAGGUACUUGUAACCAUCCUUGAGUCUUGGCAUCGCUGGACAAAUUUAGAAAGAGAAAGCUUGGUGACACGCCUUUUUACAUUGGAGGAAAAUGAAAGAAUGCAUUGUAGAAAAUGCAGAAGGAUGCCAAAUUAUCCAGAGCAAAGUUCUUAUGGAAUUGUUAUGGCUGCAGAUUCAAUCCGAGACUUGAAGGUAUGUUUCAUUUAUUUCGUAUAUCUUUCCUAGAUAAACUGUUACGUGCCGUAAAAUGAUGUUAUAUGCUUAUCUAUAUGCAGUGUACUUUUCGGAAUAUGAAGUUUGUGGAUAUUCUUAAGGUGAUGCGCAUGGAAUACAAAAUGUUAUGCGACAUUAAAUCUGGAGGCUGUGGAACGACAAAUUUUGUUCAUCAUGUUAUAAGUAGAUGCCCAUCUAUCUUCAUAAUCGGUAAGUUUUGAGAACCAUGAAUGUGAUCUUAUGCGUCCGUUUCAUUUACUAUGCUUAUGAUUAAAUAACGUUGGUGUUAUGUGGGGUUUGCAACAUUAGUAUUAGAAUGGGAGAAGAGUGAAACAGAAAAGGAAAUUUUUGAAACAACAAAGGCUCUAGAGUGGGAGAUAGAUAUCAGCAGGCUGUACAAAGGCUUAGAACCAGGGCCGGCUUAAUACUGCCAGGGGCCCUAGGGCAAAUUUUUUUUUUUUAUUCUCUAAAAUUUAUAUAGAGAUAAUGUUUAAAAUAUUUUUAAAAUUUAGUCAAUAAUAUUUUAUAAAUUUUCGCUUUCUUGAGUAGAAUUGUGAAGUUAAAUACAGACGUUGUAAACAUCUGUAAUUGCAUAGGUUGUUGGCAACAACUGGAAGAAUGUGGUCAGAUUCUGUGGAGAAAGGAAGGUUCGGCCAGAGAUUUUGUUUUAUGAAGAGCUGCCUGAUCCAUGAUGGCCUAACAAGUGUAUAGAUAUGGGAUAUGUUGAUGCAACCUAAUUAGAAGUAUAAUCUAGAAUCAAGUUGUUAGCCAUGGGCAACUUGAUUUUCUCAAGAAACACCAAACUCCUUAACCUGCAACUAAUGACAUAAUAAAAUAAUAUAACCAACAAUGUAGCUGGUUUAAGAUAAUACUUGUAAAGUCUAUGGAUAAAAUAGGCUAAAAAUCAGUAAUAUUCUAGUUUGUGGUAUAUAAUGAAAGGUUAAUAAAACUUUUAAACAUUAUUUUUUGGUCCCCAAAUGUUUCAAAAUAUUAUUUCUUUGCCCCGUAUCUUUCAAUUUUUGAAGAUUAGGCUUUUCUCCACCACCUUUAAUAGACUCACGCUGCUUGAUUUAGUGUUUGCGUAUACACACUUUGUUCAUCACAGUCAUGAAGACGAACAUUGUCCGAAACUUCACACUAGUUUUGGUCUAUUUAUCCCACAAAGUGUUCGAUACAAUUCCCCAAUUGGCAACGCUCAAAAUGUUCUUCUUUCCCCGCAUUGUCACGUGCCUCUCACGUGAUAGAAGCAUGACGAUCGUUCGAAGCUUCACACUAGUUUCGAAUUAUUUAUCCCAAACGGGUAAAUGCACACAAAGUGUUCGAUACAAUUCCCCCAAUGGCAACGCUCAAAAUGUUCUUCUGUCCCCUGCAUUGUCACGUGCCUCUCACGUGAUAGAAGCUUGACCAUUGUUUCGACGCUUCACACUAGUUUUGAUCUAUUCAUCUCAAAUGGUUAAUGCGCACAAGGUGUUCGAUACAAUUCCCCAAUGGCAAUGCUCAAAAUGUUGUUUUUUCCCCCCACGCCUUGUCACGUGCCUCUCACGUGAUAGAAGCCACCGUCUUCUCUUCCUUUCUGUUACGUUCGUUGAUUUUCCCGCCUUUACUCUUAACAACUUUCUCUCUGCAAAAGGCAAGAAAGCCUCUUGAGAAUCGUUGACUAAUGGAGUCUUCUCUGUUUAAAGACGACGAAGAAGGCGCAGAGCUCUUCCGCGACGCCAAAGAUCUAAUCGCUAAAGGAGACCACACCAAGGCCCUGGAGAUACUCGAAGAUCUGUUACUAUUCUACGCACAAGAAGAAGGCUCAUCGCUUCUACACAACGAACAAGCUACAAUCUUCUCGAAGCUAUCACGAGAAGCAACGAAAAACCCUAACUUGGCGUUCACGUACCUUUUGGCUUCAGUCUCAUGCCUUGCCGAACACGUAAACCUCUCGCGGCUCUGCGCAGAAAGGCUCCACCAACUAGGUCAACACCUUGGAUCGGUGCUGUAUUACAAGGAGUGUGUUCGCAUAGGGAAACAGAGUUUAUAUUUUUCUCGAGGCAUAGAAGAGGAAAGGAGGAAAAAAUUGGAGUUUAUGAUCAAAGAUGCAGAGUUGAGGAUCCUUGAGUGCAAGACUGAGACUAUUAGAACCGAUGAGGCGAAGUUUGUGGAGACAAAGAGAAGUCCAGAGCCUGUUAAUAAAGGACUGAGGUUGUUUUGGAUUGGUUUGGAUGUUAAGAUCAAGAGGGAGUUGAUGAAAGUAAGUAUUGAGAAGCUUAGAGGCUUUGUACAUAGCAGCGAGGGGUCACUAAAGGCUUUGGAGAAAGUUCUCGCUUAUGCUAAGGAACACAAGAGAUGGACGACAUGGGUGUGUCGAACUAUAUGUUUAGCGGAUUUCUCUAAAGCUGAAGAGUGUAAGGCUCAUUUUGAGCAACAACAUGGUGCAGAUUUUAAGCCUGAGUUGGAGAAGGAUGUGGUCGUGAGGAUAGGGAAAAACUGGGGUCAUAAGAUUAAGGGUGGAGGUUGGGAUGCGGUGGAUACAUUAGCUGCUGUUGAGAUGAUCAAAACUCAGCUUGAAGAUGUGAAAGCGUUUACAACGGAAGCUAGGAAGAAGGGGUGGUCAAACCAAUGGCCUUUGGUCGAGGAUGAAAACCGGAGUGGUUUGCUCAAGGAAGUUAAGCUACUCCUUGUGUCGCUCUAUGAGCAUCAGAUUCUCUCCUGCAGUAUUAGAGACUGGGUGAUGCGUUUUCCGGUUAAGCAUCUUAGGAAACUCGAGGUUUCGGAAGAGAGUAUUAACGAUUGUCACAUAGUGGAAACACCACAGAGCGUAUGUUUUCUUGGACGUUAUGAGCUCAGUCAGAUCCUAGCCUUUCUAGGAACUAUCAAGUGUGAAAGGCAUGAUGGUACAGAACAAGUUUGCAGAGCAGUGGACAGUGUGUUGGAUCGUAUUCGAAUUAAAGAAAGUGUUGAACUUGACGAGCAGUUUUCGUUGAUGCUCCUGGAUAAAAGACUGUUGAAAAGCAAUAGUGCUGCUCCAUUUGAUGGUUGUGUUGAUGAUGGGAAAAUCAAAUUCAUUAAAGAUCCUGAUGUUCACUACGCCAAGGCACAAGCUCAGGGAGGUGAUAUGAUAUCCUGGUUAGGUGACUCCUCUUCAGUGGAUAAAAGCUUUCCAAAACCUAUCAGGGAACACAAUCUUGAAACCUGGGUGGCUGUUCUGAGAGCUGUUCAGUACACAUGUAAAGCAUUGAGAACCAAGUAUGUAAUGAAAGAGCACGUCUUGGAGUAUGAAGCAGCUCUUACUUUCGUGGAGAACUUGUGUAUGCUUGAAGAUAAAAGAAGAGAGAAUGCUCAGGACGAUCUUAUAUGCUUCAACUGCUAAAACCUUUCUUGCUGGUUGGUUUUAAACUUUGAUUAUAUACAGAUAGCUCUCAUUUUCUAUCUUAUAUGACAUUUGAGAUGUUUCUUAUAUGAUUUUCAUGUAGAGUGAGAUUUUAAAUAUGGAAUCAAAAGCCAAGUCAGAAGCAGCAGAAGCAUAUCUUUUACUCGAAGAGGAGAGGAAGUCACUCAAAGAGGAGAAGAAGUCACAGGCAAAAAAAAAGAAGACAAGUAAAAGCACUAAGGUCUUUAAACUCUUAAAUUCUCUGUUUGCUUCUCUGACUAUUCCGUUCAUCUGUUCUAAGAAUGAAUGGGCUUCAUUGUGCAACAGAUAACUUCAACGAGCAUGGCUAGUCCCGUUGAACAGUAAGUGUUAGAUUAAUUACCAAUAUCUUGUGACAGCUUUGCUAUUUAAACACAAGUAAAUACAAAGAAACAUUCGAGGGGAAAUACGUUUACUUACAUGGUACCUCAAGAGUCUUUUUUUUUCGUGUUUGAUGAAUUGUUCUUACAUGUGCAGAAAACCUUCAAUCGACCAUGAACCGGGAGGUACAUCUCAAUCACCAAAAACGAUGGAAGAAGAUUCCAUCACAAUGGAACCAGAAGAUACUCUUGGAACUGAAAAGGGUCCAUUGGAAAUUUCAUCCACCAAUGACAUUCAAGAGGGAGCUACUAAAGUUAACACUGAUGGUAAAAAGAGCUUCUCAAGUGACGAUUAAUCUGAACUUUUUUUUUUUUUUAAGAUUCAUCCUUCUUAUUAAUAUUGAUGUUUCAAGAUAUGCAAAACAUGCCUGAAGAAGGUUCACUGUCCGGACAUUUGGAGUCAUCACUUGACAUGACGCUUAAGGUAAAGCAGUGACCAAACAAAAAAGUAACAAGAUUCAGUACCUAAACUGUCAUCUUCUGAUUUAUCUCAUUCCAUAUCCCUUUACCUUCUCUUUUUUUUUCGUGUUUGAUGAAUUGUUCUUACAUGUGCAGAAAACCUUCAAUCGACCAUGAACCGGGAGGUACAUCUCAAUCACCAAAAACGAUGGAAGAAGAUUCCAUCACAAUGGAACCAGAAGAUACUCUUGGAACUGAAAAGGGUCCAUUGGAAAUUUCAUCCACCAAUGACAUUCAAGAGGGAGCUACUAAAGUUAACACUGAUGGUAAAAAGAGCUUCUCAAGUGACGAUUAAUCUGAACUUUUUUUUUUUUUUAAGAUUCAUCCUUCUUAUUAAUAUUGAUGUUUCAAGAUAUGCAAAACAUGCCUGAAGAAGGUUCACUGUCCGGACAUUUGGAGUCAUCACUUGACAUGACGCUUAAGGUAAAGCAGUGACCAAACAAAAAAGUAACAAGAUUCAGUACCUAAACUGUCAUCUUCUGAUUUAUCUCAUUCCAUAUCCCUUUACCUUCUUAUAUAAAUUCACACUGAAACCUUUCUUGCUGGUUGGUUUGAAACUUUAUUUAUACACAGAGAGCUUUCAUUUUUCCGGCUGAUUUGGUAUUUGAAUUGUUUUCUUAUAUGUUUUCAUGUAGAAUGAAAUUGUGAUUAUGGAACCCAAACGCUAAAGGUAAACCAGUAUACGUUAACUGUGGUCUUCUGAUUCAGCUCAUUCCAUAUUUUCUUUGAUAAGUUCAAAAAAAGUGUUGGUAUUGCAGGCCCUUCUGAGCAUAAACGUUCUUAAAAAACAAGUUCUAAAUUACAAUAAGCAACCAGUUCAUGACAACCUGGAAGAACAAGUUCUAUGUGCGCUACAAAUUUUAUUCACUGCGGCUGUGUCAGAGGAAAUAAAAACUGAGGGAGUCUACAGUCUCAUCUUGAGAGACUUACUCGUGUCCUUAGAAGCAGUUAAUUGCAUGGUUCGUGUGAAUAAUAUUAGCUUCGAAGCAUCAUAUUCUAUUUUUAUAUUUUAAUAAGCUUAACUAAAGGUAAUGUAUAUUUUCAGUCGAGUGGUGCUGCUGAGGUACUUGUAACCAUCCUUGAGUCUUGGCAUUGCUGGAAAAAUUCAGAAAGAGAAAGCUUGGUGACUCGCCUUUUCACGUUGGAGGAAAAUGAAAGAAUGAGUUGUAGAAAAUGCGGAAGGAAGCCAAAUUAUCCAGAGCAGAGUUCUUACGGCAUUGUUGUAGCUUCAGAUUCAAUCAGAAACGUUAAGGUAUGUUUUCAUUAAUUUGGCUUCUUGCCUUUCCUUAGAGAAACUGGUACUUCCCCUUUAUAAAGCUGUUAUGUGCUUUUCAUAUAUGCAGUGUGCUUUUGGGGAUAUAAAGUUUGUGGAUGUCCUCAAGGUGACCCGCAUGAAUUAUAAAAUGUUAUGUGACAUUAAAACUGGAGGCUGUGGAACGUCAAAUUGUGUUCAUCACGUUAUAAGUAGAUGCCCACCUAUCUUCAUAAUCGGUAAGUUUUUGAAAACCAUGAUUAUGAUCUCAUAUACUUAUUUCAUUGGCUAUGGUUAUAAUAAAAUAACGUUGGUGUUUUGUAGUGUUAGAAUGGGAGAAGAGUGAAACUGAAAAGGAAAUUUCUGAAACAACAAAAGCUCUGGAGUGGGAGAUAGAUAUCAGCAGGCUGUACGAAGGCUUAGAACCAAACACUAACUACCGUCUUGUGUCUAUGGUUAAAAAAAAAAAAAACUUGUCCUAUUGUUCUUCUGUGUUUCUCUGUAAUAGUCUCUGAUAUAAGGGAUGUGAAUGCAGGUUGGUUAUGGUGAAGAAGACGAAGAACACAUCUGCAUGGUUUAUGAAAAGAACAGGUGGGUCAAUCUCAGACGUGAGUCUUUAGCAGGAGAGGUAAGACAGAAACUGUUGAUUUUGUCUUCCUUGUGUUGAAUUGUUGGGAUAAUAUAUGUGUGGGAAUGGGAUAGGUUGUUCGUAGCUGGAAGAGUGUGGUUAGAUUCUGUGGAGAAAAGAAGAUUCGGCCAGAGAUUCUGUUCUAUGAAGCUGCACGAUCCGUGAUGACCUGACAAGUGUAUCAACAUGGGGAAACCCAGCAUCGAUGUAUAAAACAUUGAGAAUUUGGCUCUGACAUUAUGUACUUAGAUUCAUAUCUUGAAUCAAGAUUGAUAGUCAUGUUAAACUUGAUCUUCUCAAGAGACACCAAUGUGCAAGUAAUGACAUGAUAAAAGAGUACAUGUACAGUUUUUAAGCUGAUUGUUUUUGCUGGGCAUAGUAAAGAUAUAUUCUGGUGCAGACUUGUACUUGCGCUUACUUUACUUGCCUCCAGGUUACUGUUCUAGCAGAAGGUACCACAGCAAGUGGAAGCAAAGCAUCAGGACCCGCCAUUUGGGAACUUAACUUUGUUUGGUUCCUAGUCAUUCGUCGACUAUGCACCAAUGGCUUCUUCUGCUUCUUGUCUCGCAAGUCAGAAGAAGCAAGCAGAACAUUUUAUUGACAAAUAGGAACUCAAUUCCAGAUUCUACUUCAUUUAAGUGUGUCCAGUGCACCAUUCUCUCCAUUUCCAGCAGAUUCUACUUCCAUUUAUUAUUUAGAUUUUAAUUUUAUAUGUUAGUGUAAUGAUUCAUUCUUAUCUCGACUGAUUUUGCGUUUCAUUGUAACUUUUUUAUAAUAAUUCGGAAAAAAAAAACGAACAAGCCCAGCCAAAACGAGUAAAAACUAGAGCCUAAUAAUUAACUAAGAAAACGAACAAGAAACUAAACAAACAAACAAUAACCCAACUAAUUAAACCCCAAACCGCCAGACGCGGACGAUCCAGUGCAGCUAAUACCGUUCCCAACCAAAGCUGAAGCCGCAGCAACCGCAUUGCUCCGCUCCAAAUGGCAGAGCUGACGCAGCUUAGUGGGGACAUACCAAAUGGAGAGACGAGGGUGAGCGUUGAAAACUGCGUCUAUGUCCCAGCCAUGACGACAAGCUAUGUUCACUAGCGGCUUGUAACAUGCCUGACGCCACGACCCAACGUUCUCGCCGCGUUCUUUAAACGCUCUUCGUAGAGCGUUUGAAGCUUCUUCGUCUAGGCAGUGGAGUGCGUAGCAAUGAACGUAGUGUCGCAUCUUCGGCUUGUUUAUGUAACUCGCUCCGGACUUCUUGGCGUAUCUGAAUACUUGGUUCGUCACCUAUUUACAUAUUUUUCCAAAACAUUAAAAUCAGUAUUUAAUAGCUCCAAACAGAAAGUACCAAUAUUUAUGUUGUAAAAAGAUUAUCAUAAAAACAAUGGAACUAAAAAUUUGAGAAAGAACAAAAAAAAAAGGAGUUUUAUUCGCUUAAAUUUUCUGUACUUAAAAAAAAAAUAACGUGCGUCUGUACAAGCAAUGGCACAGAGCUCAUGGAUUAUGUACUAUCAUCACUCAAAGAAAGGAGACACUAUUACCCGCUGAGCAAUAUCAUGUAUCCAAAUAUUAUUUCUAAAUAUAUACACACAAAAAAUAUAUCCUUAUUAAUUGUCAAAAAGUAUAAUAUCUAUGUUUAUUUACGCACAUGCAUGCAGAAAUUGAUCGAAUCUAAAUGCAUAAGGACAUCGUAUCUUAGUACUUGCUAUCUCAUGUCGUUUUUAGACUAAAACAGAACAACGACUGUGUUUUUAUCCUAACUCGACACGUUGUCGUACGCUGACUCUGUCAAAACUUUAAAUUGAAAUCUAACUAUAUUCGUUAACAAAAAGAAAAUGUAAAUCAGAACCUAUAUAAAUCUAUGCCACACAUAGCAAAAACUAAAAAGAAAAUAAAAAAAUAAUACUGGCAAACAAAACACUGACCUAGUGACUUGUCAAACUUACUUUAAAACAGCUGUCGAUGAUAAUGGCUAUGGUAUCCCUACCAUACCUCAUAAAUUCCGACAGAACUAAUAUAUAAAUAUAUUUUUCUUUUUUUUUGCGCAACAUAAAUAUAUUUUUCUAAAAAUAAUAAUAAUGUAAAAGUAAACGUACGGCUAGGAUUAAGUCUUGGAAGAUACCUUGGUGGGGCAUUUUUCGCCACGGUCUUUAGCAAUGGUCUGAACUUGAAUAAGAAACUCGCGACACUGUUCGUACAAGUGGAAAAGAUAAUCCAAACCGUUCUUUUUGCCACGUGCCACUUCCCCUGGCUCCGUUACGAUGAACGGAUGCUCUCUCUGUCUCUCAAUCCCCAACACACCACCACCUCCUCCUCCGUUACCGUCAUCGUCAUCCUCACCUUCGUUCAUGUCAUCAUCGGUUUCCACUGACGUCACCAUCUGUUUCUUUCUGCGUCUUUGCUGUGGCUUCUUCAUCUUUGCCUGCCCUGCGUCCCAAUAGCCUCCUCCUCCGCCGUUGUUCCCCGCCGCAUCGGUAUGUUCUAGCUGAUGCACUGGCUCCUCUGAUAACCCUGUCCAAUCAUCUAUAUAUACUUUUGUCACGAUCACAUAAUUUCUAUAUACUAUAACUAAUCCUCGUACUUCUUGCAAUAGGUCUAAUAUAUAAUAACCUGACUGCAACUGCAUAGUGUAUAAACUAUACACAAUAGUUUCACUAUACACGUGAAGGGAUGGUUCUAGUGACAACUGGAUACAAUAUUCGCUUUGACCCAAAAAUAUUUUGAAAAUAUUUUAUAUCUAGAUUCAAUAGCACUCAAAUUAUAAAACAAAAUUAUUAAAAUUAAAGUUAAAAAUUUUAAUAAUCCUUAAACUUUUUUUUUCAGUUAGCUUAUUAUAUACAAUUGUUGACUUUGAAGUUACACUGGAGAGCCUCCAAAUAAUUGGUAUUAAUAUUUUAAACGAAAGCAUUAUCAGAAAAUUAUGUUGCUCUCAACCUUAUCAUACACAUAUAAAACGUGGGGAAUGUAUAUCUGUUUAUUUAUAUAUUCAAUGUUGUACCUUCUUGAGAGAGAGCAUCAAGAGCGUGAUGAGUGCCGGAAUCACCUGCGGCGGAGAGUAGCAAAUGACGGCGUCUAGAAGACUCCUCCUCUUCCUCUUCUAGCAACCGUCUCCGUUCAGCUCUCACGGCGGCUUUGACACCGUACCGUUCACCCACGAGGAGCUCCCAACGAAAGAUAUGAGAGAGGCUAUUCAUCAUAUCCUCAAGCUCCUCGUCCUUCAUGCCCACAAGCGUGCUCGCCGUGAAACCAAGCUCGGCUAUCUUCGCCGCCGUGUAAAAACGUACACCGUAAGGACCGAACAAACCCUCCAACCCACCUAGUCUCAUUCCAAACGCUGCCGUCUGCGGUGUUGCGGGUGGUUGUUGCUGCGGUGGAGGAGGAACCGGAGGUGGUGGUUGUUGAACCAUUGCUCUCGUUGGGUUCCAUCGGAAUAAGCCACUCGUGAAACCUUCAGGAUCCAUAUUCUCUUUCUUUACUCUUUUUUUGAGGAGGUUGCUUUAUUGUUAAAAUGACCAUUCGAGCAGCUUCUAUAUAUACAACAGUAAAGAAUCUAGAAAAUAAAUUAAAACUUUUUGAAAUAUUCUUAUUUUAUAUAUCUGUUUAUUGCAAUAAAGUACGUAUGUAUAUGUAAGUAUUAUAUAAAGAAGAUAUGUGUCUUGCUGGAAAAUUGACAGUUGUGACUAAACAAGUCAAGCUUUUUUUAUCUUUCAUCGACAUUCUUUUUUCUCUGUAUACUGAUUAUGACCCUUUGUCAUUUGACACGUUAAGUUAUAAAAUGAUUAGGGUUUUUAUUGUGUUCUCUUCUUUUUAUUAAUACAUUUUUAUUUUUAAAUUUAUCUCUUACGUUUUUAAUAGUUUUACUUCUGUAAUUGUCUCUUUGAAUCGGGCAAUAUGGUGUAGACCGUUAUAAUUUGAACGAAACUCUUUGCAGCAGCUGGAGAAAUGUAUAUAUUUCUCUGUAGUGUCCUUUACAUAACUCAAACGAAUAAGUUAUCCACAUAGGCUACUGAGUACGUCUUUUUAAGUUAUGGUAUAAGUUCUGAUAAAUUUAUAAUGAAAAUAAUUUUUGUGUGAUAAGAAAUAUCAGCAUUGUCUGAACGCGAAUCUCGUGGACAUUAAAUGAGAUUGUUAAUUUAUAGCAAAAAUAGGAAUUUAAUUUUUUUUCUGCUGUGCAAUAAUAAAUUCUGAGUAUUUAUAGAUUUACAGGGAAUUGAUUUGCAUUUAGAGAACAAAGAUUAAUAAAUGCAAAGUGAAAACCUCAAAAGGAGGAGUCAGGAGUGUUUCAGUCUAUCUAAUCCCAUGAACUUUGGGGUCUAAUCUCUUCUACGAUCAUUACGUGUUGUCAUCUCCCUGAUCUAUUAUUACACCUGUCCUGAACAUAAAUUUUCGUUUCUAUUUUUUUUUUGUCAAUCUUUUCUAGGUAAAAAAAGCAAAAAUAUCUUAUUAAAAAAAUUCUCAAACCGAUAAAAUACAUUAAUGUUAUAGAAAUAAACAUCUAACUUGUUGUUUUUUUUUUGCUAAGUUCUAACUUGUUGUUUAAUUGCUUUACUACUAAUUUUUUGGGUGAGCUAUUCUUUUGGCAUCAUCAGUAUGAAGACUAACUUCAUUUGAUGAUGGAUAGCACACGUUCCAAACGUAUAACUGUUCUACAUUUGAAGACUAACUUGUUCCCAUAAAAUUCAGGCUCAGUAAAUAGCAUAUAUAUGUUAGACUAGUUGAAUAUACCGUUAAUUAAAAUUCCCAUCAAAUUUAGUUGAAGACACCCCCAAGCAAAAUGUAUGCGACCCUACAAAAACUAAAACUAUUACAAACGAAAAUUAUUACUAUUAUAAUAAAUAAGUAAUCCCAAUUUCAUUUCGGAUAUAAAACCAAAAAAAGACUAAUAUAUAGGUUGGGUCUAAUUAUACUUAAUAUUGAACUUUUUGAAGAAAAACCUUUCAAAAACAGAUUCAUAAAAAAAUUAGAACAAAAAUAUAUAAUAUCAUAGUAAGCGAAACAUAUCUUGCUCUUGUUAGAACAUCUGACCCAAAAAAGCUUCGUGGUCGUCACAAAAAACGUUAAAUUACAUUAAAACCGGAACUUUUUUUUUUAUUGAAGUGAACAAUCCUAGUUAAGUAAAACUCUCUCUCUCUUUGUUCUCUAGAGAGACGAAGGUGAGAGGAAGUAGAUCUAGGUUUUGACGGUGGUCGAUUCCGGUGGCUCUCACAGCACCGGAGUCGCGUUUCGUUGCUCUAUUGUUGUUUGCUCGUGUUGUUCUCUGAAGGCGUGGGGAGGAUUCGACUGAUUUGAUGGAUGUGAAGACUCCGGCGUGGAGGAGCGUGGUGGCGCGUGAAGUUUAUUUUCAGAGUCAGGUCGCUAAAGUCAGGUAUUUUCUAGAUGUUGAUGACGUGUGCUGGUUAUUUCUCGCCAGCAUCAGAGUUUGCUUCUUCUUUGAACUCCUAGAUCUACUUGUCUUCUCGCUGGCCUUGUGCUUAAAGAGUUUGUUCCCUUUGCUCUUUCUGGUUUGAGCUGUAUCUAUCCUAUAAUGGGUUUUGGAAUCUCUCUCGCCUUCAUAGUUGGUCGUGAUCAAGGUCUUGUGUAGUUUGCAGUGUCUUUGCUAAUCUUCUGAGUUCAUCUUAGACUAAUCUGUCAUGGAGUGUAGAGAAUGGCUUAAUUUGUCUUUGUUCCAGCAACGGUGAAGCAGAGUAGUAGUGGUAUGUGGAGAGCUACUGAAGGUUAGUGUCGUGAAGAAGAGUUGGUUUCAAGUCACCCCUGGUCUCUCAGGUUCAAAGACGUCCUUCUCCUGCCCUUCGAAUAAGUUACUUCUGGUCUCUCUUGGUCUCUGGAUUUCCUAGGUGGCUUCUAGGUGUUGAAGCAAUAGAAAGAGGUUGAGGCUUUGUAGUGUUCAGAUGAAGGCGUGGUUGAGAUGACAGCUCUUCCGGGUGUUUGUUUCUUCUUGUUUUAUGUCUUGGCUUCGUCUUAGUGGUGGUGUGUGGUGUGUGUGGUCAUCGUGAACGGGUGGUUCAGAUGAUGGUUUUUGCUCUUCAUGAAGAACUUCUACUUUUUAUGCUCUCUUGCUCUCUGUGUGGCGAGACAUCCGGCUACUCGUAAGACAAUUAAGUAUGGUUUCUAUUUUCUCUUCAUAGGUUAAGUUUUAGUUGAAAGAAUUUAGUUUGUAGCUUAAAGCUUCGUUUAUUAGUGGUCUGUCUCUUGGACUUUUGAUUCCCUUGUGUAGACUUGGUUUCCGGGGAUAUUCAUGUUUUCCGCCGGCAUUUGUAUUCCUCUUUGUGUGUUUAACAAAGUUAUCAAUGAAAACUCAGUUGGGAAAAAAAAGAACAAUCCUAGUUAAGUAAGCCUUGUCAAUAAACAGUGAUCGCAAGAAACAAAGCCGUUUGAGCCGAUAAGAAAACUUUAACGUGGAAAGGUAGCCAAUGAGGAAACGACAGGUCAAGUCGGAGUUCUGAGAAUCUGCCAUCUUAAAAGCUCAGUCUGUUUUAUUUGACUGUCUCUCUCACAGCCCUAGCAUCCUCCUCUCUCCUUCUCAUCAGUUCCUCAGUUUCCUCUUUUACCUUUUCUUUGUCUUUUCUCUCAUUUUCAAAUUAAUUUAAGUUAAUUUGCAGCAUUAGUACGACAUUACAUGUGUACUGUUAUUAUAAUUAUGAUAUAUUAUCAUGAUCAUCAUUGCGACUUGCGACUCUAAUACUGUUUUUACUCUGUUCGUUAACUGUUGGAGUUUUAGAAUCCUGAAAAUAUUGAACAGUGUGUUCUAAAGCCCCUAUUACAACCCUAUUUUCCAAUAUUAUACUCGCCUUAAUUUAAAAAAAAAAAUGAAAAAUGACUUAAUAUGUGAUUUGAAAUUUUAAUUUUCCUAGACUUACAUAAUAAAUUAAUAAUAAAGAUGUUAAUGUACUCAUCUUCUUUAUUUGUUUAUCUGCAGCAUUAGUACAUUAUUUUAUAUGUAUUUGUUAUCCCCUAUAUAUUAUUUAAGAAGCAUUACAACAUUUUUUGUAGUCACAUGUCAUCACUAGAAUGAUUCUUAGAAUCAUUAGAGAAAUAGGUUGGUCCAUCUAAAUAUAUAAUAAACUUUUUAUUAAACUAACCAUAAAUACAUUAUUAAUGUGCUUCAUUAUUUCCAUAAAUAAAAUUAAAGAAUUACCUAAUAUGGCUAAAGUAUAUAUGACAAUUAAUGACUUUGAAUAAUAAAGAUUUGAUAAAAAUAAGUGUAUAUUAUAUUAUAUUUGUUUAAUUUUAAACUAUUAAAAUAAAUAAAACAAUCAUAGUAACCAUUUAAUAAAAAUUAAAAAAAUUAUUUAUAUGUUAUAUUUUGAAUUUUUAAAAACGAGUAUAAAUUACUAAAACCAUUAAAAGUUUCACAUUCAAAUUUUGUGAUCUAUGGUUUAAACUUUUUGUUAUGACAUGAUACAAAUAAUUAAAAAAUCAUAUAAGUUGAAAGUGUCAUUUAAUAAAUAUUAAAAAUAAAAUAUAUAUAAAUAUAUAUAUAUGUAUAUGUAUAUUAAAUUAUAUGUCAUAUAAGAAAAUAAAUAAAUAUCUUAAUUUUGAAAUUUACUUUUAACAAUUUUUUUUUGAAAAAAUAUUGACAAAAUAAUUUUUAAAAAUAUUAUAAAUUACAUAAACUAUUAAUCCCACAGUAAAAAAUUUGUUAUCAGUAAUUUAAAUUUUUUGCUAUAACAGAUACAAAUGAUAAAAAAAAUAUGAGCAAAAAGCAUCAUUUUGAUAUAUAUAUAUAUGUUAUUAUCAUUUAAAUUUAAUUAUAUACCAUAUCAAAUAGAAAAAAAUAUUCUUUUGGAUUAAUAAAAUUUAUUUAUAUGUUCGCACCAACUUAAUUAUAUAGGUAAUAAUUACUGAUUUUUUAAUUAUUUAAUAUAUAUUUAUUAUUUUAUAAUAGAUCAGAAACAUAUAAUAUAUAAAAUAAUUUAUAUAUAUAACGUUCAUUCCGCGUGCGCGGAUCUUAACCUAGUUAUUAUUAAUUGUAUGGCAUCAUGUUCAUCAUUUCGACUUGCGACUCUAAUACUGUUCUUACCACUGUUAUUUAACUGUUGGGAGUUUUAGAAUGAGCGAAUCCUCAAAAGGUUAAUAAUGUGUUCAAAACCCCCUAUUACUACCCUAUUUUCCAAUAUUAUAUCAUUCUUAAAUAAAAUUUUGAAAAUGAUUUAAUAUACAGCUAAUAUUUGAAGUACUUUGAACCUUACCUAAACUACAAAAAAGGAAAUGAAAAAGCAAUUAAAUUAUAAAUUAAUUGACCUCACAAGAAUGAAGUUAACUUACGACGCAUGUUUACACUGGGCCUUAGUGGGUUUAGAGUUUCACAAUUCUUCACGGGCCGACUCAUACAUUUCCCGAUCAAGGUACGAUUAGAUGACGUUAGUGCUCAAAAGCACGUCAUAAUCUUCUAGAGACGAAUGGAUGGUUAGGUCACAGAUGUGUAUGUUGGUGUGGUCGUGAUCAGUGUAAGCGUCUUGGAAGUAUGCAACAAAAGACGUCGUUGUAUGGAAACUUCAUUUCUUAUCCAACUGCAGCUUCUAAUCUUUAUUAAAGUCGGUCACUUAAACCGAUAGAUAGUGUGUGUGGAUGGAAUCAAAUUCAAUUUGUACUGAACUACAUCAACUAAUCAGUGGGAAAAAUAUCAAAGAGAACUUUCCUUAUUUAUACAAAAUUCCAAAUCGCUGUUUUUUUCCUUGAUUAGAAUAAAAGCAUAUGGAAGAUAGAAAUGACCUGCUUCAUUUAACUUAACGUAACUACUAACAACAGAAAAGUUGAAGAGUGAAAGACAUUUGAAAGAAAUAAAAGUUUUCUUUUUCUAGUAAAGACGUGUCCCUUGUGGUUUGUUUACAUGACAGCUUCUGAAUAGAACAUUCAACUUUCAGUAUGAUUUUAUUUUACAAAACCAUCGGUCAUCUCAGAAAAUAGUUAAUUAAUAUAUUUUUUUUGACGAGAGCGAUGAUGUCAUUGGCUACACAUCGGAAGCUAGUGUCCUACGUCUCUUCGGGUUAUAUGAGAGCACCGCAUUUCCCAUAAAAAAUAGUAUAUCUCUCGAAAUGUUUCUCGUGGGACACUUCAUUACAGUAACAUCCAAGACAAAAGACUUUAGUUUUCUUCAACACACCGAAUCGAAGAAAGUUGGUUCUGAGAAUUUUCCGUUCGAGCACACGUAAAUCUCUCACUCCCUAGCUUUCUGUCUUUUGUAAUGGUGUUUUUUUGUUGAUAGGGAAGACAGUUACGUAGUACUAGAUAUGUUCGAAUCAGGAACUUAUCUAACAUCUCUGCGUCCAUUUAUGUAUGAGCUUCAGAUUAAGAAUAACCGUGUGAAACAUUAGUUUUGGCCUCCAAAAUUUAUGCAGGUUUUUAUAUAGUGAUAAGCUCCAAAAUUGCAAUUUUUAAUUAAAGUUUUAGUAUAUAUAGGCUUUCAAAUUUGUAAAAAAAAAAUGUAUAGGUUCAAAAUAUGGAAAUUCUUCUUAAACCGUGUAUAACUCUCUCCUUCUCAAUAUCUCAAGGUUGACCCGUCCCCAACGAACUUAAAAAAAGAUUAUGUUAGAUUAUUCGUUUUUGUAACUUGACAUCUUGUAGUUAAAUCAGGUUUCAAACUUUCAAGUGGGUUUGUUGUGUUCACAGUUUUAUUUCAAACAAAACUAGGUUAAGAGUUUGAGAUGUUAAUUUCAUGAUUACGUAUUUUAUCAGUUUUACUUCAUUUAUUACCUCUCUAUAACGAUAUCGAAACAGGACAAAAUGGCUCGUUGUUACCUGAUCAUCUCGUCCUUACUUCUUCUUCUGGUCGCGUUAAGCAUAUCGCCUAGCCACAGCAUUAACAUCAAGUCCGCAAGUUUCCUAUCACCAAAACAAGUCAUGACUCCAGGAUCAGUCGCAGACCCUUACCUGUUCGACAUCGAUUUCCCUAGAGGCCACAUCGGCCUCAAAGGUUUCGACGCCGAAGUAGUCGACCAAGACGGUAACCCCGUCCCGUUACACGAGACAUAUCUCCACCACUGGGUUGUGCACCCUUACUACGUGCGUAAAGGUCUCAACCUUUCGCACCUAGACACGCCUAGGAACCUUGGUUCGAGCCCUGAUUAUAUUCUCGUUAGUAACGGAGGGUUGUGUAGGAACAGAGUUAGACAAUACUUUGGGUUAGGAUCAGAAACACGCAAGACUUCGACGUAUGUUCCUGAUCCUUACGCGAUCGAGAUCGGUAACCCGGAGAAAGUACCUGAUGGGUAUGAGUUCAAAUGGCUUCUAAAUAUUCACGCUAUUGACACUAGAGGGGUUGUGGAUAAACAAGGAUGCACCGAGUGUCGGUGUGGUCUUUAUAAUGUAACGGUUGAUGAGUACGGUCGAGCUUUAGAACCUGGAUACAAAGGAGGUCAAGACUGCUGCUACGAUAAGACUCAAUGUCGGUUAAGAAACGGAUUCGACAGUGGAAACAAAACAAGAACUGUGUAUCUUAAGUAUACUGUGAGAUGGGUUGAUUGGGACAGCUCGGUUUUGUUGCCGGCUAAGGUUUAUAUUCUCGAUGUAACGGAUUCUUGGGAACGGUCAGAAGGAUCAACAGGAGAUAACCAAGAACAUUUUUGUCAUGUCAGUAAAGACUUUUCACAUCUCUGCUUAUUAAUGCUUUUAACGUUAGCUAAGGUGUAUUAAUUGUUUUCUUUUCAGGUGGAAUAUGACGUGAAACCGUGCAAAACUAAGGGUGAUGGGUGUGUCGAUGUUAAGAAAAAGAGCUUAAUGAUGCCGUUUAACGGGUAUAUUGUCUAUGGAGUAGCUCACCAGCACGCAGGUGGUAUCGGUGCAGCUCUGUACCGAGAGGUUAGUUUUUAACAGGCCCGGACGUUUGGUGUCUUGUUCGGGGUUUGUUUUGGAUUUUCGGUAUCAUGCACAAUGGUCUUAUUCAUAUUUUACUAGUUUUUGGAUCGGGUUUGAUUCGAUUUCGUAUGUGUUUGAUUCAAAUCAAAUUAUAACCAUUGUCUAAAAAUCGUACUUAAAUCUGGAAAUAAAAUUAAUGAAAUUGACAAAAACAUAUUUAAAAUAUACAAAAAAAAAAAUCAAAAAUCUGAUUAAAAACUUGUCAAGCUACCUAAACUGAUUAAAAGUAUUCCAAAAUAACGAUUCGCAAUUCCUAUAAAAACUACAAAAAAUCUAAUUUUUUUUUAAAAUUUCUAAAUAUUUAUCUUAACGUAACAUAUGUAGAAAAAAACAUUAAUAGAUUAACUUAUGUGGAUUUUUCGGAUUUUAGUACGGAUUUUAGUUUGGUUUGGAUUGAACCCGAGUCCGAAAGUAUUCUUAUACUCUAUUUGGGUAUUUUUUAUGAUGGUUUAGAUAGGAUCUUGGUUUGGUCUCAGUUCGAAUUUCAGGUCUGGUUAUAAACACCCAACCUAAGGUUUUAAGCUAAUGCAAAAACUUUUUACUCAAAAACUGAGACUCUAGUGUUAUGGAUUGAUCAGGACGGUGAGGUAAUAUGCUCCUCGAUGCCGAAGUAUGGCAAUGGAGAUGAGCCUGGAAGCGAAGCUGGUUACAUCGUUGGAAUGUCGUCUUGUUAUCCUGAACCGGUGAAAGUGACUAAUGGAGAGACACUGUCUUUGGAGUUCAAUUACAGUAAUGUCAUUGGUCAUACAGGAGUCAUGGGACUCUUUUACAUCCUCGUUGCUCAGCAGCUGCCUGGACCGGAGAGCUUCUUGCAGGUAAACUGCCGGUAACAGAUCUCGGUUUAGGUCAAACCGGUUAUUACCAUGUGUGUUACUUUACUUAACGUCAGUAUUCAUUAUUUCUUUGCAGGCACAUUCGAGUAGUUUGGGCUUUUUAGCCUUUCUUGCAGUGACGGUGGCGGUUGUGGUUCUAAUAGUCGCCGUGGUAUACCGGAGAAAGGACCGGGAAGAUGGUUACCAAUCACUUAGUACCUAAACAGUAAAACUAUAGAUAUUCUUCUUCAACAUUUUAUAGUUUUCCACUUUUUCUAAUACCAAAUAUUAAAAUAACAAAGUAUCUUGUACUCUUCCACUAGUGUGUGAUAUUUCUGUAAUGGUUGUUACGACUUACGUGUGUAAAAAGUUUUCUUUUGUCAAUGGUAUGUGGAAGACUCUUGCUCAGCUAGAGACUUUCAAAUUGAUUAGUAGGCCCAGCUCAAUAGAGACUCUCACAAGACUCUUGCUCCUCCGCUAGAUUCGGUUCCGGUUUGAUUCUUUCUCUUCAGUUUUAGAUGUGUAGGAUUCACUUUGGUUCUGAUUCGGUUAUUUCAUUUUUCAGUUUAGUUUAGAUAACAAAGUUAAAAACCGAAUAAUAUUCGAGGUCAUUUUUGGAUCAUAUUCGUUAGCGGUUCGAUUUUAGUUUUUUUGGUUAAUUUUUGUUAAAAGUAAGAAAAUUCAGUUUUUUUACUAAAUGUUAGAUUUUAUCCAAUAAUUUAGAUAAAAUUUUGAUAAUUCAAAUAAUUUAAAAUGUUUCGGAUAAAAUGUAUUUGGAGAUUCAGUUUUUGAAAAUAGUAUUUCAAAUUAUUUUAUUAUUUUGAAACUAAAUGUAGUUAAUAUUUAUAAGUGUAUAUAAUUAUAUUAUAGAAAUUUGGGUAUCCAUUCGGGUUUUUGUUUGCUCCAGUUCGGUUUUAGUUUUUCGGUUCAAGUUAUAGGAUCCGUUUUUGUAUUAUAUGAUCUAAAUCCGAACCAAACCUCUUUUUUUAGUUUAGUUUGAUUUGGUUCUUUGUUCCUGAUAAAUGUGUUACUUUUGCUUCUAGAAGACUCUUACUCUACCAGAGACUUUUAAAUUGAUUACAGGCCCAGCCCAAUACUGACGUUAGACUAUCUGUAAUAAACAUGCACAUUACGUAGCAAUACAAAUUGCGCACGUAGGAUACCUCUCUUUCGCAUGACGUGGCUUCCAUCUAUUGGCUCUCACCACGUGGCGAGCGAUCUCAUUGGUGGAAACAACAAAAAUCGACACACUCGACCAAGUCUACGGGAUUUAAAUAUAUAAAUCACUCAGAGAAACUAAAAUCUUCAGGAAAAAAAAAAAAUAGAUUCCACUCUCUCUCUCUCUCUUCUCCCUCCGAUCUACUCGAACCUUUCCGAUGAUGAGAGACCGGCAGCUAUUCUCCGGCCUUCUGCUUAUCUUAGCUCUCCUCUCGCUCCAGAACCUUUGCCACUGCGACGAUAAUACGGUAGAUUUCGAUUUUCUCGGGAAAAUGUUUCUGAAUGUUAUCGUAGAUCUGAAGAUUUUUUUAGAUCUGAGUUCGUUGGAUUUGUGUUCAGGUGUUGUAUGAAUCGUUCGAUGAGGCGUUUGAUGGUCGCUGGAUCGUUUCGAAGAAUGGUGAUUACGAAGGUAUUGUAUAUCGCUAAACUCUCUGAAACGCGUUUGUGGUUAGUAUAUGGUUCUGAUCUGAUUGGAUUAUGAUGAUUUAGAGUGGAGUUAUUGAAGUGUUCUUGAUUCAAAGAAGAAUGUUGAUUUAUUCAUUAAUGAUCUUAAAGUUUGUUACAAAUCUUGUAUGCAGCCUUAACAAACUAAACCGGAAAUAACCAAAUGGUUUACAUCAUAAUUAAGAUAAUAAACCGGAGAUUCCAGAGUCUUGAACCAACUAUCAUAUGCAAGUAUAUGAAUAUGUACAUGCUUAAUAGAAUCAAAUCGAGAAUGUUGAUGGAUGUUUGAAUCAAAUCUAACUUGGUGAUACUAUAGAAUGAUUCAGAGUUGAGUUAUUGAAGUGAGUUGUGAUGUGUUGUUGCCCUCACCAUUUAGAGGAUUCAAAUUGAGAAUGUUGAUGGAUGUUUGAAUCAAAUCUGACUUAUUGGUAGUAUAGAUUGAGUCGGAGUUGAGUUAUUGAAGUGAGUUGUAAUGUGUUGUUGUCCUCACCAUAUAGAGGAUUCAAAUUGAGAAUGUGUAUGGAUGUUUGUAAGUUAAAGCUGAUUUAGUGUGGUAGUAUAGAUUCGUCACCUCACAUCAUGAUGUUGUUGAAGCUUCUUUGCUAAGACCGCUUUAUCUGUUUCAGGUGUGUGGAAGCAUGCGAAGAGUGAGGGACAUGAUGAUUACGGACUUCUCGUAAGCGAGAAGGCUCGUAAGUACGGUAUAGUGAAGGAGCUUGACGAGCCUCUAAACCUCAAGGACGGAACCAUUGUUCUUCAGUACGAGGUUCGUUUCCAGGAGGGGCUUGAGUGUGGCGGUGCUUACUUGAAGUACCUCCGUCCUCAGGAAGCUGGAUGGACAGCUGAAGGGUUCGACAGUGAAUCUCCUUACUCUAUCAUGUUUGGGCCUGACAAGUGUGGAGCCACAAACAAAGUUCAUUUCAUCUUGAAACACAAGAACCCAAAGAGCGGCGAGUACGUUGAGCACCAUCUCAAGUUCCCUCCCUCUGUUCCUUACGACAAGCUUUCCCAUGUCUACACCGCUAUCUUGAAGCCAGACAACGAGGUUAGGAUUCUGGUUGAUGGAGAGGAGAAGAAGAAGGCUAAUUUACUCUCUGGGGAGGACUUUGAGCCUGCGUUGAUCCCUGCCAAGACCAUCCCUGACCCUGAAGACAAGAAACCAGAAGACUGGGA
rnacentral:lncRNA from 1 species